UACGUAGGUGGCAAGCGUUGUCCGGAUUUACUGGGCGUAAAGCGCGCGCAGGUGGCGCGUCAAGUCUGGUGUGAAAGCCUCCGGCUCAACCGGAGGAGGCCACUGGAGACUGGCGUGCUCGAGGUGGGUAGGGGUCGGUGGAAUUCCCGGUGUAGUGGUGAAAUGCGUAGAUAUCUAGAGGAACACCAGAGGCGAAAGCGAAUCACUGGACAGAACCUGACGCUGAGGCACGAAAGCUAGGGGAGCAAACGGG
rnacentral:rRNA from 1 species